rnacentral:tRNA from 1 species
GGCGUAGCUUAGCCUGGUAGAGCGCCUGGUUUGGGACCAGGAGGUCGUUGGUUCGAAUCCAAUCGC